rnacentral:rRNA from 1 species
UACGGAGGGGGUUAGCGUUGUUCGGAAUUACUGGGCGUAAAGCGCACGUAGGCGGAUCAGAAAGUUGGGGGUGAAAUCCCGGGGCUCAACCCCGGAACUGCCUUCAAUACUGCCAGUCUUGAGUCCGAGAGAGGUGAGUGGAAUUCCUAGUGUAGAGGUGAAAUUCGUAGAUAUUAGGAAGAACACCAGUGGCGAAGGCGGCUCACUGGCUCGGUACUGACGCUGAGGUGCGAAAGCGUGGGGAGCAAACAGGAUUAGAUACCCCGGUAGUCC